rnacentral:rRNA from 1 species
UACGUAGGGGCAAGCGUUGUCCGGAUUUAUUGGGCGUAAAGAGCGUGUAGGCGGCCUGAAAGGUCAGCUGUGAAAACUCGAGGCUCAACCUCGAGACGUCGGUUGAAACCAUCUGGCUAGAGUCCGGAAGAGGAGUGUGGAAUUCCCGGUGUAGCGGUGAAAUGCGCAGAUAUCGGGAAGAACACCCGUGGCGAAGGCGGCACUCUGGGACGGUACUGACGCUGAGACGCGAAAGCGUGGGAGCGAACAGG